rnacentral:rRNA from 1 species
AUACGGAGGGUGCAAGCGUUAUUCGGAAUCACUGGGCGUAAAGCGCGCGCAGGCGGCCCGAUAAGUUGGAUGUGAAAGCCUACGGCUCAACCGUAGAACUGCAUCCAAAACUAUUAGACUAGAGUGUGGGAGAGGAAGAUGGAAUUAGUUGUGUAGGGGUAAAAUCCGUAGAGAUAACUAGGAAUACCAAAAGCGAAGGCAAUCUUCUGGAACACUACUGACGCUGAGGCGCGAAAGCGUGGGGAGCAAACGGGAUUAGAUACCCUAGUAGUCC